GUGAGGAAUUUUCCGCAAUGGGCGAAAGCUUGACGGAGCAAUGCCGCGUGAAGGAUGAAGGCCUAUGGGUUGUAAACUUCUUUUCUCAGAAAAGAAUUAUGACGGUAUCUGAGGAAUAAGCAUCGGCUAACUCUGUGCCAGCAGCCGCGGUAAGACAGAGGAUGCAAGCGUUAUCCGGAAUGAUUGGGCGUAAAGCGUCUGUAGGUUGUUUAAAAAGUAUUCUGUCAAAGAUUAGGGCUUAACCCUAGAUAGGCAGAAUAAACUUUUAAGCUAGAGUUUGGUAGAGGCAGAGGGAAUUCCCGGUGGAGCGGUGAAAUGCGUAGAUAUCGGGAGGAACACCAAAGGCGAAGGCACUCUGCUGGGCCAAUACUAACACUGAGAGACGAAAGCGAGGGGAGCAAAUGGGAUUAGAUACCCCUGUAGUCC
rnacentral:rRNA from 1 species